rnacentral:tRNA from 1 species
UAGCUCAAUGGUUGAGCGUUGGCUUUGAGAGCCACAGGUCGGUGGUUCGAACCCACC